GGAGCUGUGCCUGAAGUAAAGGGCCACUUUGAUAGAGUGAACAACGGGGGUUAGAGUCCCCCCAGCUCCU
rnacentral:tRNA from 1 species